rnacentral:rRNA from 1 species
UACGGGGGGGGCAAGCGUUGUUCGGAAUUACUGGGCGUAAAGGGCUCGUAGGCGGCCAACUAAGUCGGAUGUGAAAUCCCCAGGCUUAACCUGGGAACUGCAUCCGAUACUGGAUGGCUUGAAUUCGGGAGAAGGGAUGCAGAAUUCCAGGUGUGAGCGGUGAAAUGCGUAGAUAUCUGGAGGAAUACCGGUGGCGAAGGCGGCAUCCUGGACCGAGAUUGACGCUGAUGAGCGAAAGCUAGGGGAGCAAACGGG